rfam:Brachypodium distachyon strain Bd21 chromosome 3, whole genome shotgun sequence.
AUGGGAACGAGGAUCCUUUCCCCAAAUGAUCGACAAUGAUUAUACUGUCCUUAUCAGAGGAUUCCAAGCCAGAAAUCUGAUCCAU